rnacentral:lncRNA from 1 species
ACGACUGGUUCAACGUCGAACCAUUCAAAGCAACCAGCAAGCGUCCCAAUAUCUGCUGUUGGGCGACACGCCACAAUGUUGCCACCUGCAACGUGAAUCCCACCGCUGCCACCAUCAACGUCCGAGGCUGUGCAGACAGCGUCGAGGCCUGGCUGAAAAAACACAUCGUGAUCGUGGCGGCAGUGGCGCUGGGCAUCGCCUUCUUCGAGCUCCUGGGCAUCGUCUUCGCCUGCUGCCUCAUGAGGGGCAUCCGGAGCGGCUACGAGGUCAUGUAGCGGCUGGGCCAGGACUCCCGGGGGCUCCCCCGGGGGGGGGUGUCUCUGCCCCUUUAAGCUGUCAGACCCGCCUUCUUUCCACAGCGCCCCCUGGUGGGCAGAUCCUGUCCUGCAGCGGUUACCGUAUUCCUUCUAAUGGACGGGCAGCAGGUGCCUUAAACAUUUGCCAAAACCCCUCCCCCUUUUCUUACUUUAGCUGCCCCUCCCCCCGCCUCUCCAGUGCCGGGGGAGGGGAGCUUGGGGGGUCUCUGUCUUUGGGGGGAGGGGGGAAUGUUGAUAUGUUGAAGAUGUGGGGGGGGCACAAUAUUUUGAAAAUAAAAAGCUUCC